UUAAUCAGAUAUAGAAAUGACUUCUCUCAAAAGGAUUUUGCAACCACUCUCACUUCUCUUAUUAACUCUGCUCCUCACUUCCGUUACUUCCGGCCGUUUCCUAAUCGAUUUCGACCCUGUUCCGUCAUCUGCCAGCACCCCAUUGGACACUGACCUUUCGUUAGGUUACACCGUCCCUUUGACCAGUAACGAAAUGACGUCGGAUCAAUCGAGAGCCGUCGUACAAACGUCCAACAUAAUCAGAUGAUAAUCUCGAAGUGGUGAAACAGGAGUUUUAGUUGAAGAUUUCCAAUUUCUAUAGAUCGGAGGUGUAAAUCCGCCGACUAAAUCCACCAGCUCUUGUUCGGGACCAUUAUGGUUAAAUUUUAAAUUUUUUUAAGGUGUUUUCUUUCUACAAUCAAUUUUCAGUUACAAUUUCGACUUGAUCAAAACUCAAGAUUUGAUAUUUCUUUGUACCUCACAAUUCGUGGAUCUACUCCAAUUGUAAGAACAUAGAAAUUACGAGUUUCUAAAAUGACCACAAUUUAAGAUCAAAAGUACAUCUAUCAGUGAGUUUCAGCUUACAGCAAAAAUGUACGAAUUAUUUUUGUAUU